AUCACCUGGGGAUCUUGUUAAAGUGCACAUUCUGAUUUACUGGGUCUGGGGUGGGGCCUGAGAGUCUGCAUUUCUAACAAGCUCUCAGUGCUGCUGA
rnacentral:pre_miRNA from 1 species